rnacentral:rRNA from 1 species
GACGAACGCUGGCGGCGUGCCUAAUACAUGCAAGUCGAACGAGAGCGACCGGUGCUUGCUCUGGUCAAUCUAGUGGCGAACGGGUGAGUAACACGUGGGUAACCUGCCUAUCAGAGGGGGAUAACAUCCGGAAACGGAUGCUAAAACCGCAUAGGUCUUCGAACCGCAUGGUUUGAAGAGGAAAAGAGGCGCAAGCUUCUGCUGAUGGUUGGACCCGCGGUGCAUUAGCUAGUUGGUGAGGUAACGGCUCACCAAGGCCGUGAUGCAUAGCCGACCUGAGAGGGUGAUCGGCCACAUUGGAACUGAGACACGGCCCAGACUCCUACGGGAGGCAGCAGUAGGGAAUCUUCCGCAAUGGGCGAAAGUCUGACGGAGCAACGCCGCGUGAGUGAAGAAGGUUUUCGGAUCGUAAAACUCUGUUGUUAGAGAAGAACAAGUGCUAGAGUAACUGUUAGCGCCUUGACGGUAUCUAACCAGAAAGCCACGGCUAACUACGUG